rnacentral:rRNA from 1 species
UACGUAGGGGGCAAGCGUUGUUCGGAAUUACUGGGCGUAAAGUGCGCGUAGGCGGCAGGCCAAGUCGGGAGUGAAAGCCCGGGGCUCAACCCCGGAAUGUCUUUCGAAACUGGCCAGCUGGAGUGCGGAAGAGGCAACUGGAAUUCCCCGUGUAGCGGUGAAAUGCGUAGAUAUUGGGAAGAACACCUGAGGCGAAGGCGGGUUGCUGGGCCGACACUGACGCUGAGGCGCGAAAGCCAGGGGAGCAAACGGG